CCUACGGGUGGCAGCAGUGAGGAAUAUUGGUCAAUGGGCGCGAGCCUGAACCAGCCAAGUCGCGUGAGGGAAGACGGUCCUAUGGAUUGUAAACCUCUUUUGUCGGGGAGAAAAAGACGCCACGCGUGGCGUUCCGAGAGUACCCGAAGAAAAAGCAUCGGCUAACUCCGUGCCAGCAGCCGCGGUAAUACGGAGGAUGCGGGCGUUAUCCGGAUUUAUUGGGUUUAAAGGGUGCGCAGGCGGAAGAUCAAGUCAGCGGUAAAAUUGAGGGGCUCAACCUCUUCGAGCCGUUGAAACUGGUUGUCUUGAGUGAUGGAGAAGUAUGCGGAAUUCGUGGUGUAGCGGUGAAAUGCAUAGAUAUCACGCAGAACUCCGAUUGCGAAGGCAGCAUACCGGCGCUCAACUGACGCUCAUGCACGAAAGUGUGGGUAUCGAACAGGAUUAGAUACCCGGGUAGUC
rnacentral:rRNA from 1 species